AUAAAAAAAUUUGGAGCGCGCCCACUUAUCAUCCUAAACCCUAACCCCGCCAAUAUCUCGCCUUCGACUCUACCCUUUUAUCAAAAUAGAGCGCCACUUUUUACCCUUUAUUCUUAUAACUCAAAACACCAAACCCCCCUUCGCAACUGCUCACUUUCGCCAGGGAAAAAAUGGACCAGUACCAGAAAGUGGAGAAGCCGAAGGCUGAGACCCCAUUAAACGAGAAUGAGCUGAGGAUUAUAGUUCAAGGGAGAAAUGAACUAAGCCUAGAGAUGACUACACCAAGUGUUAAAAAAAAUAACUUAAUGAUUGGUGUAGUCAUCUCUGUUGCAUUCAAGACCCAAAUCAACAGUUGGAACUCUAGCAUAUAUAGCACCGGAAGUUCUGGCGCGGUGAGAGUAUGAUGGAAAGAUAUUGAAGGUGUAGUAGAGGAUUCAAUCUCUUCAAGCUGGAAAAGCCAAGGCUUAGCACUUCUUCAAGUGGAGUGUUAUUUAAUGUUGCAUUCCAUGGUCAUUUAUCUUAGUCGAAACUUGAAUUUCUGUAACUACCUUGUGUACUAGCUUCUUUAACCAUGAUUGUUAAUCAUUAUGUGUUUUGUAGCUUCUUUUAUAUUUGGCCGAUUUAAUAUAGAUCAGAUGACCUGUGAGAUAGAUUGCUUAUUUAUUUAAACAUAAUAUUUUAAUUCUAAAUUUAAAUUCAUUAAUUUUUA